UGGCAGGUACCUGUGAGUAACAGAAACCCCAUCUUUCCCUAAAAACAUGGUUGAAAAGGGAAAGCAAGAUGCUAAAUACCAAUAAUGCAGAAGAUGGGAAGCUGGUUGCCAAACUGAAGUUAUUCCCACCCGAAGCAAUGCUGGAUGGUUAAUUUGAACCACAAAGUGAUAGAAGAGACUUGCCCUUCUGACAGGGGCAGCUCCACUGUGCACACAGGAACAGAAUUAUGCCCAUAGCCACUAGAAGUACAGGUGACCACAUUUAAGAGGCUGCAGCAGUACUGUUUGGCCUUAAAGGCUUAAGAACCAAUUCAACAAUAC